rnacentral:rRNA from 1 species
UACGAAGGGGGCUAGCGUUGUUCGGAAUUACUGGGCGUAAAGGGCGCGUAGGCGGUCCUGAUCGUCGGAUGUGAAAGGCCUGGGCUCAACCUGGGAACUGCAUCCGAUACGGCGGGACUGGAGUGUGGGAGAGGUUGGUGGAAUUCCCAGUGUAGAGGUGAAAUUCGUAGAUAUUGGGAAGAACACCGGUGGCGAAGGCGGCCAACUGGACCACAACUGACGCGGAGGCGCGAAAGCGUGGGGAGCAAACAGG